CCGGGCUGGAGGAAGAGGGGCGGCGGCGUUGCUAGGAUACGGGGAGCGGCCGCCAUGACAGCGCCCCGCCGCCAUGACAGCGCCGCCAUGACGGCGCCGAGGCCGGGGCCGGCGGAGCCCCUGGCCGGGAGCGAGCCGGGCCGAGGCGGGUGUUUCUCACCUUUAUUUCAUGGAAACACGCAACCCCCCCAGCACAUCAUUUUGGGACGGGAUGCAGAACGGGCUUGUGUCUCUGACUUGAAGACCUGGCAGUGAGGAGGAGGAGGAUGGCGGUGAUGCUGAAGCCCACCCAGAGCUCCUCACCUUCUGGCAGGUCUCCAGGAACUCCUCGAAGGUCACCACGCCGUCGCCGUUCCUGUCCAUCUUCUGCAAGGGAAGAGCAGGGGCUCAGCGGGGGCGUCCCCAGCGGCAGUGACAGCCCCCAGCCUGUGAUACACGGGGGGUUUUGGCGGCUGCCAGGAGGGGACGAGGCGGGACGGUCUCACCUGGAAGAACAGCUCCACAUGCUCGGCGGGCGCGCUGUCCCUCAGGGUGGGGUGGGUGCAGCGCCCCAUCAUGUCGUAGAUGGACUUCAUGAUCUCCAGCAUUUCCUAGGAGGGGACAGAGGGGGGGGCUCAGGGUGACAAGAACCCUCUGAAUGAGGGCACCUUUGUCCCCCCGCACCUCUUUCCACCGUCCCUGUCCCUCUCUGGGUGUCCCCCGCCAUGCUCCCACCCUGCCCCGCCUCCCCCAGCCCUCGUGUGUCUCCCCUGUCCCCGUGUCACCUCCUUAGUGAUGUAGCCGUCUUUAUUAAUAUCGUAGAGGUUGAAAGCCCACUUCAGCUUCUGGUGCACUGUCCCCCGCAGCAAGAUGGAGAGGCCGACGACAAAAUCCUGCCAAAGGAACCACGGCUGUGAGCGGAGAUGUCCCAUGGGUACCGCCGUCUCACCCAGACCCCAGGGACGGACCCGUGUCCCCGCUGGCUCGGCCGUUUGCCCCCCUCCAAUGGUGCCGCAGCGCUGCCAUCGAUCGCGGGAUGCCCAGGGGAUUUUUUUUCCUAUUGAUCCCGUUUCUAUUCUCGCUUGUAGCUAUUUUUAAUCACCACGGUAAAACCGGCACCGGCCCCCCCACCAGCCACCCCUGCCGCAGUGCCUGGAACUCUCCCGGCACAGGCUCCUGCCGUCGAGGAGACCGAAGAUUUUGGCCGUCGCUGCUGUGCUGAGCUUUUAUCCCCGACCGCACGCGGGUGAGGAAGAUCUGAUGAAUCACGCCGCUGGGCACGCUUACAGCCGGCCGCGGCUCGAGGAGCACGGCGCUGGCACGGCUUUUCCCGGCGAGAAGCCGGGCACGGAGGCGGUGCUGGGACGCUCACCUGGAAGCAGAGAGCCCCAUUACGGUCAGCGUCGAAGGCGUCAAAUAAGAAGUGCGCGUAGGUGCUGGCGUCUGCGAGGGGAGGAAGGCAAGAGCCAGUGAAGCCCCCACCCCGGCACGCACCGGGAUCGGGAUUUGGCGUUUUCUCCGGAUGCAGCCCCCCCACCGGCACCCCCACGCUGGCCUUGGGGGUCCCCCCGACUCACCGCCUUGGGGGAAGAACUGCGAGUAGAUGAGCUUGAAGGUCUCCUCGUCCACGAGGCCGCUGGGACACUCCUGGGGAGGAGACCGGGCGCCCGGUGAACCCCGGCUCCACCAAAAUCCACCCCCCGGCCCUGGCGGUGGGGGGCCGGGGCGAGGGUCCCCCCAAGACUCACAUUCUUGAAGCCGCGGUAGAGGGACUGCAGCUCCUUCUUGGUGAACUUGGUCUGCGCCAGCAGCUGCUCCAGCCCCUCGGGUUGGUGCCGUACAGACGAAAGCUCCAACUCGGCAUCGCCGCCGUCUGCUGGGAGACGCCGGCAAAGACCCCCGUGGGGGUCCAGCAGCCUCUCCGCAUCAUCCUACGCUCGAUCCCGGGCUGUUUCCCGCCCGGAUCUGACCCUGCUUAAAACCAACGCCCCCCCAACCCGAUGGCGGACCCCAAAUUCCCCUCGUGCCUGGAGGAAAACUGGGGAACUCUGGGUUUCACAUCCCGAGGGAGAAGACCGCCGACUCAGAGGGUUUCCCCAGGAGCUGCCGAACCCGUGCCCGCCUCCGGCAGCACUUUCCCAGGGCGCAGAACAUCCUGGAGCCGCCUCUCACCCCGACCCCGCUAAUGCUCCCUCCCGCCCGCGCCUGCCCUGGCGGAAGGUAAUUAAUAAAUGAUGGUUCAUUAAUAAUUCCAGCUUGGGAAGCCCCCGCGGACCCGUUCAGCGCCGAGACGGGGAUAUCGGGAACUUCAGGCUGGGAAAACCGGGCCACGGCUGGGGAGAGGCUCCGCCGGGGGUUACGGACGCGGGGUUACCUUCCACGGAGAUGGGCUCCAGGAUGCCAAACUGCUUGAGGACAGCGAUGAAGAGGAGGAUGACCACGGCCACGGCGCACAGCUCCAUGCCCUGGAU